rnacentral:rRNA from 1 species
UACGUAGGGUGCAAGCGUUAAUCGGAAUUACUGGGCGUAAAGCGUGCGCAGGCGGCUAUGCAAGACAGAUGUGAAAUCCCCGGGCUCAACCUGGGAACUGCAUUUGUGACUGCAUAGCUAGAGUACGGUAGAGGGGGAUGGAAUUCCGCGUGUAGCAGUGAAAUGCGUAGAUAUGCGGAGGAACACCGAUGGCGAAGGCAAUCCCCUGAACCUGUACUGACGCUCAUGCGACGAAAGCGUGGGGAGCAAACAGG